GUGCCCUCGUCCUGUGUAUGGGUUCAUUCCUUCUUUCUGCUUUGGUUUUCCAGAAGUUGAUCCCUUUGAACUGCUGAAACCUGAUGCCUUGCAAUCAAUAGUCUGUAAAACAGUAAGAUCAGCAGUGUGAAGAUUCAGAUUUUCUGCCUCUAAAUGCAGACUGCUGUGCUGGGCCACUGAGCUUGUCCAGUGAAUGAUUGCUAAAGUGAUUACAGGAGUGUUGUGGCAAGUUGUCCAAGUUCACAAGAUAAACCCCGAGCGAACUGGCCACAGCAGCUGGGUGACCUGUCUCUGUGCCUGGCUGAUGAAAACUUUCUGGAUUAGUUAGCUGUGUUCCAGCCAGCCUCUUGAGGUGCAAGGGAAUGUCAUAGCACUGGACCUGUUGUGCUGCCCAGACUCAGAGCAACACUGCAGAAGCCAUUGGUCUGCUCCUGGAGGCAAGCUGCAAAACCACGGAAAAAAUGCUUUCUCGGGAUAAAAAUCAAGAACAGAGUUAAAACUGAUGUGGAUGGAGAUGUUGUCACAGCCUGAUGCAGCGGGUUUCCCAGGAUCCUACCCCUUAAACGUGGUGAGACGAAAGACUUUCUGGUCCUCUGUGUGGAGUAUCUUAAUUAACUGCGUAAUUGGAAGAACAGAAUUGGGUCCUAAGUGAGAUGCCUACAGCUCUGUCACAUGCAUCCAGGUCUGCUUCCAUGCUGUCUCCUUCCAAUAAAUACAUGUCAUCAUUCUGCAGACUGGUACCAAUGAGAGGAAAUGUGAAAGGCUCUGUACCACAGGCACCUCCCCACCUCCGCAGCUCUGGGUCCUGGGGAUUUAAGAAGAGAAAACAGACUC